CAUUCUGAUUUAUUCCUCACCUAGCAUCUACAUUGUUGUAUUCUAAAGUGUUCAUCAAAUUGCUUUUGAAGAAACUUUCUUCUUUUACUUCUGGAGAAGUUAGUACAUUUGGUGGGUUGAUAAGGGGUGUUGGUGGUGCAAUGCCUUCUCAUCCAAUAGCUGAUCCUCCUGUGAUGGGUCGUCUUGGAUCUGCUGCUCCAGAUUUGUCACCAAAUGGUCAAAAUGUCGGUUUUAGUGGUCAAGUUCCGGUAGAUGCAAUGACAAGGCCAGGUAGGGAUACUAUUCCUCUACCUCCAGAUGCUUCCAACACUAUACGUUGAAGGGUUUCCUCCUGACAGCACAAGGCGGGAAAUAGCCCGCAUCCUAUUUAGUGUAGUGCUUGAUAAGAUAUAUUGACCUGUUCAAUGAUACAAUAUUUUAACUUUUUUACCUGGCUUCCGAUUGUUGGUUCACAUUCCUUGAUCAAGGCUUUAGAUAUCUUUCGCCCAUUUGAUGGAUAUGAAGAAGUACGAUUAGUGAGCAAAGAACCCCGACAGCGUGGUGGAUCCUGUUAUCCUUUGUUUUGUUGAUUUUUCAAGUCCUGCAUGUGCGGCAACUGCAAUGAGUGCCUUGCAAGGUUAUAAAAUGGAUGAACAUGACCCGGAUUCUAAAUACUCGAGGCUGCAGUUUUCUCGACACCCCGGCCCAAGGUCGGGUCCUGGAACUCGUGGAAGGAGGUAAAUGUGACUUUCUUUCGGCAAAUAGGCUAUCUUUUUCUAUAUACGGUAAGAUUUUGAAGACGCACCAUCUUUAUGAAAUAGUACAUUUAAACCAUGUAAUUUAAAUUACUCGAUCCCGAUGAGCAUUUUCCUUAGAGAUUACCAGAAAUUUAGGAGUGUGGAUCAAGCAAUACUAGAAUUGCUUGCACGUUUCAGGAAUCCAUGUUGUACCAUGACUUAAGAGAUAUAAGAGCUAUUUUUGUUGUAGAGAUAAGAUCUUUGUAGCAUCUGCAAU